AGAACAUGUUGAUGAUUGUUUAAUUAUUCCGAAAAAUUCAUGAAUGGAAUAACAAACCUCCUACUCAUUCUGA